rnacentral:lncRNA from 1 species
CCAAGGCUCCCCUGGGUGUCCCCUGUCUGUCCCCGAGUGUCCCUGGGUGUCCCUGGGUGUCGCCAGGUGUCUCCAAGGGUCCCCUGUGUGUCCCUGCCUGUCCCCACAUGUCCUUGAGGGUCCCUUGGGUGUCCCCAAGGCUCCCCUGGGUGUCCCCUGUCUGUCCCCGAGUGUCCCCUGUCUGUCCCUGGGUGUCCCUGGGUGUCCCCAAGGCUCCCCUGGGUGUCCCCUGUCUGUCCCCGGGUGUCCCUGGGUGUCCCUGGGUGUCCCCAAGGCUCCCCUGGGUGUCCCCUGUCUGUCCCUGGGUGUCCCUGGGUGUCCCCAAGGCUCCCCUGGGUGUCCCCUGUCUGUCCCCAGGUGUCCCUGGGUGUCCCCAGGUGUCCCCUGUUUGUCCUCUGUGUGUCCCUGCCUGUCCCCACAUGUCCUUGAGGGUCCCCUGGGUGCCCCCAAGGCUCCCCUGGGUGUCCCUGUCUGUCCCCGAGUGUCCCUGGGUGUCCCCAGGUGUCCCCAAGGCUCCUCUCUCUGUCCGUGUGUGUCCCCUGUGUGUCCCUCUGUCUGUCCCUGUGUGUCCCUGUGUGUCCCCUUGGUGUCCCUCUCUGUCCCCCGAGUGUCCCCGAGUGUCCCCGAGUGUCCCCAGCCCGUUUUUGGGGCGCAGCUGUUCCUGUUCCAGCUCCUGCGGGGUCUCGCCUUCUGCCACCGCCACAAAGUUCUGCACCGCGACCUCAAACCCCAGAACCUCCUGCUCAGCCGCCGGGGGGACCUCAAGCUGGCAGACUUCGGCCUGGCCCGGGCCAAGUCCAUCCCCACCAAGACGUUCUCGAGCGAGGUGGUGACGCUGUGGUACCGCCCGCCCGACAUCCUGCUGGGCUCCACCGAGUACAGCACCCAGAUCGACAUGUGGUGGGCACUGGGAGUACUGGGAGGGACUGGGAUGGGCACUGGGGGCACUGGGAGGGACUGGGAUGGGCACUGGGGGCACUGGGAUGGGCACUGGGGGCACUGGGAUUCA